UACUGAGGGGGCAAGCGUUGUUCGGAAUUACUGGGCGUAAAGGGCGCGUAGGCGGCCCGCUAAGUCGAACGUGAAAUCCCCGGGCUCAACCCGGGAACUGCGUCCGAUACUGGCAGGCUUGAAUCCGGGAGAGGGAUGCGGAAUUCCAGGUGUAGCGGUGAAAUGCGUAGAUAUCUGGAGGAACACCGGUGGCGAAGGCGGCAUCCUGGACCGGCAUUGACGCUGAGGUACGAAAGCGUGGGGAUCAAACAGG
rnacentral:rRNA from 1 species